CUUCUCAGAUGUCCUAAGAGGUUUUUAAAUAACUUAAGAGCUAUGACUCUAUUUUCUGUACUUUCAGAAUUGUGGCCUUGACACGGAUGUGUACAAUGGAGGCCUCUGCGUAUGUAUGUACCCAGUGCUGCCAAGACCCACGGUGAAACUGUAUCUUCUGGCCACAGUUUUAAGGCUUACAGACGCCCGGAACCCUUGCACCCCAGGUUCCUUGGAGCCUUUCUCCAGGGCUAAUCCCAAGGGUUCCUGAGGAUGCUGAAGGAGGUCACCCCAUUUGUCUGCUGGGGAGAGAAUGUGGAGGGUGUUCAGCAGAAUCCACGCUGGAACUCAGAAUUCAAUGAUUGGUUGGACAAAUGAAUGAAUUUUGGGCAGCGCAAAGAAUGGGCACGCUAAGCUGGUACCAGGAGGUGAUGCUGAAGGAGAAACUUGUCAUUAAAACCCUGUGGAACUGACCUGCUCCAGAGAAGGACAUCAAAUGCCUUGACUAGCUGCCCUUGUGAAUCUGAUUGAAGGAGGCUCUGAGGUGUGGACAAAGCUAGUUUGGACCUGCACCUCUUUUGUUCAUCUGUGGGAUUUUCACAGGAGAGCAGAGGUGGAGAUCGAGUACUGGGCCUCGAUGUGGACCUGAAAGGUAUGGGCUUUGCCACCAUGGGGAAGUCUGAGACAGAACAUAAAAAUGCCUUUUGCCCCCUGUAUGAGGGGACUUGUUCAGGCUAAACAGUGCAAUCUGGAAAAGCUGAAGAGAUGGGAAAUAACCAGGAAGCCUCCUGCCUCCCUCAUAGCCUGUCCUACUGGGAUGUGUCGUCCAUUUGAGAGGAAUGGGGAUGCUAUUAGUGGCAGGGUCAUGACUAGAGUUAGCCUGGUUGACCACUUAACUGUUGUGUGCCACUCACUUAACCCCUAAGCUCCCAUCAAGCACCAAACACCACUCACUUUAAUUUCCCAAGGGAUGAAUGGCCUGGUCCACAGUGAAUACCCUCAUAAAUGUUAGUUCCCUCUUCUACCCCACCCCCAAAUACCGUUUUCCUCCACAAACUGCCACCUAGCCCUGGGGGCACAGCUCAAUAAAGUCCCCAUAAAACUCCACUUCUCCGAGUCCAGCUUCAGAAUUUACAGCCAGUGGAUUCAUCACAUUGUUUAAAUUAUGGCAAUAUGAAAAUACAGAAAAUCCACGGGGAGCCAGGCUUUUCCCAUAUAUAAAACAGGGUUACGAUCCUAUAUAAGCUUUUAAAAGAGAAUGCUUUAGUUUAUAUCUUCAUACAAAAGACUGGAAAAGAAAAAGAAAGGAAAGGGAACUCACUGGCAAACAAUAGGGUCUCACACCCUCUCUGAGGAAGCCCUUGGCUCCUUCCUAUGCAUUCUCCACUUUCAUGACAUCCCUACUGUAGCCAGCUGGGAAUUACCUGGCUCCAGAGUCCUGGUGCCUCCUCAGGAUCCCUUGGCUCAUCAAUACUUCUCCAUCUCCACUGUCACACCCUGUGUCCCAGUUACCAGCCUCCCUGUCACCAGCAUCCUUUUCCUGGACCAUGAACCUCUUUGCAAUGAAUCAGCCUGUGUCUGUUGGGGCUGCAGCAGACAGGAUGGGUGGAGGCAGGAAGCAUGCAGGGGCAUACAGAUCUAGGCUGCCUUUUUCCACGUCAGACCUCAGAGAGGCCCAUCUGUGCCUUGAAAGUAUCUAAGCCCCUCUGCAUCUCAGCUUGGCUCUACUCCAUCAAGAUCUGCCCUACCUGCUUCUGCUACUGCCUCCCUUGCUGCCAAUGUGGUAUUCUGUUUCCCUUGCCUGGAAGGCUCUUUGCUUGGAACAUCCCCAAGCUGUCUACUCUUUUCUCUGGAGGUUCAGGCUUUCAAAGCUUCCUCUGAGAGCAUCUACUGGUCACCCUACCGCCCCUCACCCACCUCAAACCAGAUCAAAUCUUCCAACUCUCCGCCACAUCACAAAUGUCCUUCAUCCCACAUCGUGGACAAAGUGACUACAAAUCUGAUGACUCUGUAUCCCUGCUAAGCUGUGAGCUCUAUGGGGCAAUGACUGAAUCUGAUUUUUCUCAUCCUUCCAUGAAGUUAAGAGACUGAAGACUCUUAAGGAAGGACAACUUUCACAUGGUAGACACUUAGGGCAGACCUCAGGUUUACCACCAGUCUCAAACGUAAAUCGGGUAGAAGGACACCUAUGGUGUGGUGCUGUGAGAGUAGGAAACAAAUUUGUGAAAUGUAUAUCUAUAAGGAUUUCAUUUAUCCUGUGUGUCUGUUCUUGUGAGGGUCUGGGGACAGGAGAAGGAGCGUUUCUAACACCACGAUCACCACUGCUGAUGAAUUAUUCAGCACUAGCUAAUACCCACCAGAGAUGUGCGUCGGUGAAUUCUUGGAUCCCAGUUCUGUUUACGUUUGGACAGUGAAGGAGUAUCAGUUGUGAGUUUUCAAAUGAGACCUCCUCUCGGAUGGCAGCACAUGAAAGACUUGCCUGGGCACUGAUCCAAGGUUCUGUACACAACAUGUGUGGAUGUUCGAGAGCAAUUUUGUUUGCUCAUGGCCCCACCUGUCAGGAGCCACAUCCAAAUAAGAAAAACACAUUAUUAGCCCUUAUGGCAACAAGAGAGUCGUUUGUACAGAACAGCAAAGGUGGCUAAGGAUUAAAUUCUCCUGGGUAAGCAUGGGUGAAUCUUGCGAGCCUUUCCAAAGCCUUCUGGAGUUUUGGAGUUGGGCAAAGCAUUUAAGGACACCUCAAGGAACCCUUGGCAAAGUGGCUUGGUAGAGAAGCCAGACAUUUGGAGACUGAAAACGACCUACAAGUUUAUGAUGGUAUCCCACUGAUGUCCUAGGGUGGUGCUGAAGAUUAAACUCACAUCCACAAUAAGGAACACAGUCUUCCUGUUCUGUCUGACUGCUCCUGUCUGUUAUAGUGCAUACUCAGCCUUCUGAAGAACAUGGAAUAUUACCUGAAUAACACCUCAAAGAAUGUUUUCCAAGCACUCAUCAUUUGGAGUUUGGCUAACUAGUCAGUUAAUGAAAAGAAAAAAGAAAUAAAAAAGGAAGAAUAUGGCUGUUUUAGGUAUGGUAAAGGAGAAGGCUUAUUGUAGAGAAAAGAGAGAGCAUAGUCAGAGGCAGAGACAUCUGGUAAAGUCUGCAGUGAACAUGACCUGACUGAGCUGGGCCAGAUAGAGUGGGGGCAGGGGUGGGGCAAGAGAGGAGCUGCUGACCAAGAAGGAUGGACUGGGCCAAGAGACUGGUGUAGGCGCCAGAGGAAUGGGGGAGAGGGGGCUAGGAAGACCAGCCUCUGGGCCAGAGACAUUUAGCAUAGGUGGUAGGGUCUGCUAGCCAUACCAUGUAAUAGAUAGGACUGAGAGAUGCUGGGAGAAUCUGGAGUCAGAGUCUGCUUUGAUAUGUUAAUGGAUACCCCAGUUAGCCAGCAGUCAAUCUUGAGAAAGUCAGUCACACUGCCUGUCCUGCACUGCCCUAGGGAUAACACAUUGCAGAAGACACAGAGCAACUGUAGUCACCAACGGCCAUACUGAUGUUGUGAAGCACCAGUUGCUAAGUGCUUUGAAGAGUAAUUGGUUUUUUUGUUUUUUUUUUAAUCUCUUCCGGUGAUCUUAUGAGGUACCACCAUUGUUUCCAUUUUGCUCAUUAAGAACAUACAUACAUACAUACAUACAGACAGAAAAACAGGCAAACCCAGGCAUAGAGAAGGCACAUGACUCUCCCCAAAACCACUCCAUUGGUGCAGAAUUGAGGCAUGAUUUGACUGACCCGUGACAGUCUAAGUACAGAGCUACAGGCCCUUCCUCUCUGCUGAUACCUCUCCGUAGCAAUGAUGGACAGCUGCCGCUUCUGCUAGGAUUCUGGGGGCUCUUAGGAAGAGGUCAUAAGAUUUAGUAUCUAAAACACUCCUACAUGGCACAUGCAAUUGAAUGGGCUGCCAGCAUAUCAUACUAUGGAGCACACAAUGUAUGAGAUUUGUGAGAUACAUAACAAAAGACCUGGAAAACAAGAGAUGCCAUCUUUGCUACUUCUGCCGGUUUCUUUACUGGUCUAUGCUAUUGGUUUGAGUUGCUAAAUUGGACUGGCCCAAGGCAGGCAUUUUUUUCUGGUCACUGUCCUGGCUGUAGUGAAGUUCUGAGGUGGCUGGUGCUUGCUGUAUUCUAGCCCCCAUGCUUCACUCACUCUUGGCUCUUCCCAUAGAGAUUGUCAUCUGGCUCUGGACCGAGUGCAGCAUUUUCAGGGAAUCCCCCAAAUUCAUUUGUCUUUAUUUCCCCCAGUAUCACUCUCUUUCAAGCUCAUUUUCUUCUGAGGACACCAUGACCUAACCUUGGGAAAGCUUCUGUGUUAGAUUUCCUUGGCUAUGACAAAAAUCCCCAAGGUAGACAACUUAAAAGAGGGAAAUGUCCGUUCAUUAUUUCCUAAGUCCCUGUUCUGGUUGGUUGACUCUAUCAUUGUGCUAAUUAUUUUUCUGGCUGUGUCAAAAGCAGCUUAAUGACAAAGGGGAGGUUUAUUCUGGUUCACAGUUUAAGGGUACUGUCCACAGUCUAUCAUAGCAAAGAAGUCCUAUGAUAGACAGGGACAGGAGACAACUGAUUACAUUGCAUCCAUAGUCUGUUCAUGUCCAGAGAGAUUUCAGAAGAGGCUCCCUUAGCUUUAAGUUUUAGUUUAGCAGAGGUUCAGAUUGAGGGAACAAUUUUUCCCCAGAGCAGAGACUAACAGUCCUGCAUGUAGACCAGCAGACUAGUAACAUAACAUCAGAGACCCUUGGCCACACUUCCCUGAGCUUUUUCUCUAAUCUAGUAAUCUAGGAAUGUGUUUUUCCCACUCUUUUCACCACCAUUGUCAUAUUUCU